rnacentral:lncRNA from 1 species
AGCAUUGGUGAACCCAACAAGGUUUGGGUCUUUGGCAGAGUACACUGCUGCAGAUGAAAGAGUAUUGGCUCACAAACCCAAAAACCUGAGCUUUAUUGAAGCUGCUAGCCUUCCCUUGGCUAUUGAAACUGCCCAUGAAGGGCUUGAAAGAGCUGAACUUUCUGCUGGUAAAUCCGUCCUUGUUUUGGGAGGCGCUGGGGGUGUUGGAACACAUAUUAUUCAGGUACAUUCUGAUUUCAUUAUCUUCCUACUUGGUUAAAUUUCAACAUGUAAUACUAUUUUUGGCUUCAAACAUUUAAAUUAAGGAUGUGUACUUUAAUGUGAUGCAGCUUGCAAAGCAUGUUUAUGGGGCUUCCAAAGUAGCAGCUACUGCAAGCACUAAGAAACUGGAUUUGUUGAGAACCUUGGGUGCUGAUUUGGCUAUCGAUUACACCAAGGAGAACUUCGAGGACCUGCCAGAGAAAUUUGAUGUAGUGUAUGAUGCAGUUGGUAAGAAUCUUCUGCUCCCUCUUGUUGUCUGCAUAAGCUUUUUCUGUAGCUAGUACAGUUAUCUUUUCUGUGUUGAUCUUUCGUUUAUCACUGGAAACCUAAAUAGAACAACUGAUGAUGGAGAGGGUGUAGAAUUAUCAUGCAUGGAUAAUCUUAUAUGGAUAUAAUCAAACUGAUCGAACAUUUGAAUGUAUCUAUAGCAAAUUAGCAAUGAAUGAAUUAGAAGACUUUAGCGACUGAUGUUGUAUUUGUAAAACAAAAAUAGGGGAGACAGAUAAGGCUGUGAAGGCGGUGAAAGAAGGUGGGAAGGUUGUAACAAUAGUAGGUCCAGCAACGCCACCGGCUAUCCUUUUUGUGCUUACCUCUAAAGGGUCUGUGUUGGAGAAACUGAAGCCUUACUUGGAGAGUGGGAAGGUGAAGCCAGUUCUUGAUCCCACAAGUCCAUAUCCCUUUACUAAAGUUGUUGAAGCAUUUGGUUACCUUGAGAGUUCCAGAGCUACCGGAAAGGUGGUUGUGUAUCCCAUCCCAUGAGGUUGAGAGUGUAUGUGUGAAUGAUCUAUGAGACUAUGAUUGUGUAGAGUCCAUUUCCUUCCUCUUGUAUGUGUGUAGCAGUAUAUUUUAAUCUUGAAGCCUUGUAAUAAUGAAUAAGAUUGAGUCCUUAAUAAAUUGUCAUUACAUGAAAUGGUUACAGCUUACGUUUUGUUUCAUUUUUUCACAAUUGUCACUGCUUAC